rnacentral:rRNA from 1 species
UUAUAUGAGAGUUUGAUCCUGGCUCAGGACGAACGCUGGCGGCAUGCCUAAUACAUGCAAGUCGAACGCACGAAGUUGAAAAGCUUG